rnacentral:rRNA from 1 species
AGGUGCCUACGGGGGGCAGCAGUAGGGAAUCUUCCACAAUGGGCGAAAGCCUGAUGGAGCAACGCCGCGUGGGUGAGGAAGGUCUUCGGAUCGUAAAACCCUGUUGUUAGAGAAGAAAGUGCGUGAGAGUAACUGUUCACGUUUCGACGGUAUCUAACCAGAAAGCCACGGCUAACUACGUGCCAGCAGCCGCGGUAAUACGUAGGUGGCAAGCGUUAUCCGGAUUUAUUGGGCGUAAAGGGAACGCAGGCGGGCCUUUAAGUUUGAUGUGAAAGCCUUGGGCUUAACCGGAGUAGUGCAUUGGA